UCCAUGUGCUCCCCAUAGGGCUCCCCGUGCCCCCUAUAGGCCCCAUGUACCCCCUAUAGGUCCUAUGUGUCUCCUAUAGACCAUCUGUGCUCCCCAUAGGACCCUGCGUGCCCCCUAUAGGCUCUGUGUGCUCCCCAUAGGACCCUGUGUGCCCCCUAUAGGCUCUAUGUGCUCCCCAUAGGACCCUGCGUGCCCCCUAUAGGCUCUGUGUGCUCCCCAUAGGACCCUGCGUGCCCCCUAUAGGCUCUGUGUGCUCCCCAUAGCGUCCUGUGUGCCCCCUAUAGGCUCUAUGUCCUCCCCAUAGGACCC
rnacentral:lncRNA from 1 species